rnacentral:rRNA from 1 species
AACGCUAGCUGCAGGCUUAACACAUGCAAGUCGAGGGGCAGCAUGGUCUUAGCUUGCUAAGGCCGAUGGCGACCGGCGCACGGGUGAGUAACACGUAUCCAACCUGCCGUCUACUCUUGGACAGCCUUCUGAAAGGAAGAUUAAUACAAGAUGGCAUCAUGAGUCCACAUGUUCACAUGAUUAAAGGUAUUCCGGUAGACGAUGGGGAUGCGUUCCAUUAGAUAGUAGGCGGGGUAACGGCCCACCUAGUCUUCGAUGGAUAGGGGUUCUGAGAGGAAGGUCCCCCACAUUGGAACUGAGACACGGUCCAAACUCCUACGGGAGGCAGCAGUGAGGAAUAUUGGUCAAUGGGCGAGAGCCUGAACCAGCCAAGUAGCGUGAAGGAUGACUGCCCUAUGGGUUGUAAACUUCUUUUAUAAAGGAAUAAAGUCGGGUAUGGAUACCCGUUUGCAUGUACUUUAUGAAUAAGGAUCGGCUAACUCCGUGCCAGCAGCCGCGGUAAUACGGAGGAUCCGAGCGUUAUCCGGAUUUAUUGGGUUUAAAGGGAGCGUAGAUGGAUGUUUAAGUCAGUUGUGAAAGUUUGCGGCUCAACCGUAAAAUUGCAGUUGAUACUGGAUAUCUUGAGUGCAGUUGAGGCAGGCGGAAUUCGUGGUGUAGCGGUGAAAUGCUUAGAUAUCACGAAGAACUCCGAUUGCGAAGGCAGCCUGCUAAGCUGCAACUGACAUUGAGGCUCGAAAGUGUGGGUAUCAAACAGGAUUAGAUACCCUGGUAGUCCACACGGUAAACGAUGAAUACUCGCUGUUUGCGAUAUACGGCAAGCGGCCAAGCGAAAGCGUUAAGUAUUCCACCUGGGGAGUACGCCGGCAACGGUGAAACUCAAAGGAAUUGACGGGGGCCCGCACAAGCGGAGGAACAUGUGGUUUAAUUCGAUGAUACGCGAGGAACCUUACCCGGGCUUAAAUUGCAGAUGAAUUACGGUGAAAGCCGUAAGCCGCAAGGCAUCUGUGAAGGUGCUGCAUGGUUGUCGUCAGCUCGUGCCGUGAGGUGUCGGCUUAAGUGCCAUAACGAGCGCAACCCUUGUUGUCAGUUACUAACAGGUUCCGCUGAGGACUCUGACAAGACUGCCAUCGUAAGAUGUGAGGAAGGUGGGGAUGACGUCAAAUCAGCACGGCCCUUACGUCCGGGGCUACACACGUGUUACAAUGGGGGGUACAGAGGGCCGCUACCACGCGAGUGGAUGCCAAUCCCAAAAACCUCUCUCAGUUCGGACUGGAGUCUGCAACCCGACUCCACGAAGCUGGAUUCGCUAGUAAUCGCGCAUCAGCCACGGCGCGGUGAAUACGUUCCCGGGCCUUGUACACACCGCCCGUCAAGCCAUGGGAGCCGGGGGUACCUGAAGUGCGUAACCGCGAGGAGCGCCCUAGGGUAAAACUGGUGACUGGGGC